GCAUUUCGUCUGACACCCUCACCGCCCUGUCCGUCACCCUGAGGUCACGUACCCGACCGAUGAAGCAAAGCCUUUCGUCUGACACCCUCACCGCACUGUCCGUCACCCUGAGCUCACGUACCCGACCGAUGAAGCAAAGCCUUUCGUCUGACACCCUCACCUCCCUGUCCGUCACCCUGAGGUCACGUACCCGACCGAUGAAGCAAAGCCUUUCGUCUGACACCCUCACCGCCCUGUCCGUCACCCUGAGCUCACGUACCGACCGAUGAAGCAAAGCCUUUCGUCUGACACCCGCACCGCCCUGUCCCUCACCCUGAGCUCACGUACCCGACCGAUGAAGCAAAGCCUUUCGUCUGACACCCGCACCGCCCUGUCCGUCACCCUGAGGUCACGUACCUGACCGAUGAAGCAAAGCCUUUCGUCUGACACCCGCACCUCCCUGUCCGUCACCCUGAGCUCACGUACCCGACCGAUGAAGCAAAGCCUUUCAUCUGACACCCUCACCGCCCUGUCCGUCACCCUGAGCUCACGUACCCGACCGAUGAAGCAAAGCCUUUCGUCUGACACCCUCACCGCCCUGUCCGUCACCCUGAGGUCACGUACCCGACCGAUGAAGCAAAGCCUUUCGUCUGACACCCUCACCGCCCUGUCCGUCACCCUGAGGUCACGUACCCGACCGAUGAAGCAAAGCCUUUCGUCUGACACCCUCACCGCCCUGUCCGUCACCCUGAGCUCACGUACCCUACCGAUGAAGCAAAGCCUUUCGUCUGACACCGUCACCGCCCUGUCCGUCACCCUGAGCUCACGUACCCGACCGAUGAAGCAAAGCCUUUCGUCUGACACCCGCACCGCCCUGUCCGUCACCCUGAGGUCACGUACCCGACCGAUGAAGCAAAGCCUUUCGUCUGACACCCGCACCUCCCUGUCCGUCACCCUGAGCUCACGUACCCGACCGAUGAAGCAAAGCAUUUCGUCUGACACCCUCACCGCCCUGUCCGUCACCCUGAGCUCACGUACCCGACCGAUGAAGCAAAGCCUUUCGUCUGACACCCUCACCGCCCUGUCCGUCACCCUGAGCUCACGUACCCGACCGACGAAGCAAAGCCUUUCGUCUGACACCCUCACCGCCCUGUCCGUCACCCUGAGGUCACGUACCCGACCGAUGAAGCAAAGCCUUUCGUCUGACACCCUCACCGCCCUGUCCGUCACCCUGAGCUCACGUACCCGACCGAUGAAGCAAAGCCUUUCGUCUGACACCCUCACCGCCCUGUCCGUCACCCUGAGCUCACGUACCCGACCGAUGAAACAAAGCCUUUCGUCUGACACCCUCACCGCCCUGUCCGUCACCCUGAGCUCACGUACCCGACCGAUGAAGCAAAGCCUUUCGUCUGACACCCUCACCGCCCUGUCCGUCACCCUGAGGUCACGUACCCGACCGAUGAAGCAAAGCCUUUCGUCUGACACCCUCACCGCCCUCUCCGUCACCCUGAGCUCACGUACCCGACCGAUGAAGCAAAGCCUUUCGUCUCACACCCUCACCGCCCUGUCCGUCACCGAGGUCACGUACCCGACCGAUGAAGCAAAGCCUUUCGUCUGACACCCUCACCGCCCUCUCCGUCACCCUGAGCUCACGUACCCGAUCAAUGAAGCAAAGCCUUUCGUCUGACACCCUCACCGCCCUGUCCGUCACCCUGAGGUCACGUACCCGAUCAAUGAAGCAAAGCCUUUCGUCUGACACCCUCACCGCCCUGUCCGUCACCCUGAGGUCACGUACCCGACCGAUGAAGCAAAGCCUUUCGUCUGACACCCUCAACGCCCUGUCCGUCACCCUGAGCUCACGUACCCGACCGAUGAAGCAAAGCCUUUCGUCUGACACCCUCACCGCCCUGUCCGUCACCCUGAGCUCACGUACCCGACCGAUGAAGCAAAGCCUUUCGUCUGACACCCUCACCUCCCUGUCCGUCACCCUGAGGUCACGUACCCGACCGAUGAAGCAAAGCCUUUCGUCUGACACCCUCACCGCCCUGUCCGUCACCCUGAGCUCACGUACCCGACCGAUGAAGCAAAGCCUUUCGUCUGACACCCUCACCUCCCUGUCCGUCACACUGAGGUCACGUACCCGACCGAUGAAGCAAAGCCUUUCGUCUGACACCCUCACCGCCCUGUCCGUCACCCUGAGCUCACGUACCCGACCGAUGAAGCAAAGCCUUUCGUCUGACACCCUCACCGCCCUCUCCGUCACCCUGAGCUCACGUACCCGACCGAUGAAGCAAAGCCUUUCGUCUGACACCCUCACCGCCCUGUCCGUCACCCUGAGGUCACGUACCCGACCGAUGAAGCAAAGCCUUUCGUCUGACACCCUCAGCGCCCUGUCC